rnacentral:rRNA from 1 species
CACGGAUCCAGACUUGAUCCUGGCUCAGAGCGAACGCUAGCGGCGCGCCUAACACAUGCAAGUCGUGCGAGAAAGUAGGGGCAACUCCAUGAGUAGAGCGGCGCACGGGUGAGUAACGCGUGGGUAAUCUACCCCUAAGAUCGGGAUAACCCGCCGAAAGGCGGGCUAAUACCGGAUAAGACCACGGGACGUGUGUUCCGCGGUUAAAGGGAGGGCGAUCGUUCGGGAUCUUUCGCUUGGGGCUGAGCUCGCGUCCCAUCAGCUAGUUGGUGAGGUAACGGCUCACCAAGGCUAAGACGGGUAGCUGGUCUGAGAGGACGAUCAAGCCACACUGGCACUUGAUACACGUUCCAGACUCGUACGGGAGACAGCAGUGGGGUACUUUGGGCAAUGGGGGAAUCCUUGAUGCAGGCAAUGCUGCGUGAGUGAAGAAGGCCUUCAGGUUGUAAAGCUGUUGUCGGAGGGGAAGAAACGAUGGUGCCUUAUAUCCCUCUGGUAUUGACGGUACCUCGAAGGAGAAGCAUCGGCUAAUUACGUGCCAGCAGCCGCGGUAAUACGUAGGGUGCGAGCGUUAAUCGGAAUUACUGGGCGUAAAGCGUGCGCAGGCGGUUCUGUAAGACAGACGUGAAAUCCCCGGGCUUAACCUGGGAACUGCGUUUGUGACUGCAAGACUAGAGUGUAGCAGAGGGGGGUAGAAUUCCACGUGUAGCAGUGAAAUGCGUAGAUAUGUGGAGGAAUACCAAUGGCGAAGGCAGCCCCCUGGGUUAACACUGACGCUCAUGCACGAAAGCGUGGGGAGCAAACAGGAUUAGAUACCCUGGUAGUCCACGCCCUAAACGAUGUCAACUAGGUGUUGGGGAAGGAGACUUCUUUAGUACCGCAGCUAACGCGUGAAGUUGGCCGCCUGGGGAAGGGGUCAGAUGAUAAAAACUCAAGGAAUUGUUGGGCAACCUCACACCCGGUGGAAGAUGAGGAUUAAUACGAUGCAACGCGAAAAACCUUACCUACCCUUGACAUGUCAGGAAGAUUCCAGAGAUGGGAUUGUGCCCGAAAGGGAACCUGAACACAGGUGCUGCAUGGCUGUCGUCAGCUCGUGUCGUGAGAUGUUGGGUUAAGUCCCGCAACGAGCGCAACCCUUGUCAUUAAUUGCCAUCAUUCAGUUGGGCACUUUAAUGAGAUGCCGGUGAUAAACCGGAGGAAGGUGGGGAUGACGUCAAGUCUCAUGGCCCUUAUGGGUAGGGCUUCACACGUAAUACAAUGGUCGGUACAGAGGGUUGCCAACCCGCGAGGGGGAGCCAAUCCCAGAAAGCCGAUCGUAGUCCGGAUUGUAGUACUGCAACUCGACUACAUGAAGUCGGAAUCGCUAGUAAUCGCGGAUAAGCAUGUCGCGGUGAAUACGUUCCCGGGUCUUGUACACACCGCCCGUCACACCAUGGGAGUGGAAUCUGGCAGAAGUAGGUAGCCUAACCGCAAGGGGGGCGCUUACCACGCUGGGUUUCAUGACUGGGGUGAAGUCGUAACAAGCUAGCCGUAAGCUUCAC